rnacentral:lncRNA from 7 species
CAAUUUAAGGUUCUAAGCCAGAUCCCCUGCUGUUAUGAUGUGAUCUCAAAGACCCAUGGGCUACAGUGGUCUGAAUGAGGAAUCACACCUACACUGCGAUGGCAAAGCAGCAGAUAGAUGGAGGGGACUGCAGAGUGCGGGGUUUUAUCACACAUCACCAGCAGAGGUCAGGAUGAAACUCCUAUUCAUUUCUGAUUCUGAACUGUUCAAUUCAGACAGACUUUCAUCACAGUAACUGUAAGCGCAAAAGACUUAAAGGACAUCUAUUGCCUUCCUCCUAUUCCUGGGAGAUUGUAUCCUUCCGGAGUAUUUUCUAGCUGUGUGUUUUCUGGUUCUGCUGACACUCUUCAGGAGCAAGUGAGUGCAGCACAACUGGUGCAAAGACUUUCCUGAUAAUCAAUCUGGAAUUACCCUUUCUUUUCAUCUCAUCACUUUUAUCAUACUUCCUGUGUGACACCCCAAGUCUGAGCAUAAAAGAGGGUAUAUUUCUGAAGGGGAAAAAUUUGGCUUACACAGACUAAGCUGGACAAGAUACAAGCAGCUUGUACAAUCAGCAACUGAUUUUCAGGACACUGAACAGGCGAUCUUUAGGGUGAGAAUGCAGAAAUGUCAAGUGCUUGCUCUUGUAGCAACUGUGAAUGCCUAGAUGAUGAAGUGAGUAAUGAAACCUCCAGCAGUACAAGAAAUAAAGGGUGAUAAAUUUGGAAUCUCUCCAAACAUUCUCACUUCUCCCUCAGCGUUCUCACCUCCCUGGCUGUGUGAUAGGUAGAGCAGCACUGCUGCUGUGUAGUCCCAAGGCCAAUCUCACUCAUAGCCUUAUCUAGCCUACUGAACAGUUUGUGCCACCACAGCCUUGCAAAGCUAUUCAGAACUCUUUAGUUCUUUACAGUUCUAGGUGCUUAGUCCCAUUGGAUUCUAAUGCCCAUGUAGAAGGAAGAAGUUGCCACAAUAGCAACCUGGCUUGUGAUGGUAGAAGAAGCUGACCAACGUACUAUGGAAGCUCAGCACCUCCAUCUUAUGAGAACACCACUGCGUUCCGCCAUAGCUGAAGACCCUGAGCAAAUUAGAGGCAAAUGGCUAACAAUGGAGCAUAACAAAUAGAGCACGGAAAAUAAACCUUACAGCAAUGGAAGUCCGAGGUUUAUCCAUUGUCAGGGUUUAACUAUUGUCUGAGCAGCAAAGUGUUGCCUGUGGCUGUUGUGCAGUCCUAGGCUUGGAUCAUGUAUUCUGAUUCCUUAGGCACAAGACGGUUGAGGAAAACUGGAUCAGGACAGACUUUCUUCUGCCAUAUUAGGUCAAUGUGCUUCAUCAUCAACUACAGGGAAUGCAUGAGGAGUAGCAGGGUAGUCACACACCCAGCCUGUUCAACCCGUAGUUGCCCAGAUGACUGGCAGUCAAUCAGUCUGCCAUUGAGAGCUGCUUAUAGCUGCCUUAGAUGAGCUCAGAUCUGGUAGGAACUGAAAUAAGGCUAUAGGAUCAUGUCACAUUAACUGCAAGAUAUUUUGAUGAUCUGCAGUGAAUUUCAGCCAGUAAUUUAGAGUUGAUUUGCUCAACACUUUUAACAGUCAUGGAUCUUGGCUAUGGUAAUGUAAUUUUAGAGUGGUAGCAAGGACCCUGCCAAUAGAUGUUUGGCUCCUCUUGUAUCUCGUUAUCAGCCAGGAAGCAGUAGAACUGAUAAUGAAUGGCUAAAUCCUGAUUUUCUCAGUAUCACACUUGCAGAGAAUAAUAUCUUACCUUUAAAUACUCCCUGUCACAGCUAGACCAGAGAAACCAACUGGAAUCCCAACUACUCUCACAUUGUCCAAAGACCAACUCAUUAGCUGUGUGACUUGUUAAACACAAUUCUGUCAAACUUUGUUCUUCAGCCUGACAUUAUUCAUAUAUUAAUUAAACAAACUCCUACUUGCUCCCUUGGGGAUCAUAACAUCUCUCUGCAUUUAUGCUGUGGCAGCAAAAAUUUAAGCUUGGAUUGUAAUCAUAAAGAAAUUAACUUGCUGAUUAAAAAUAGUCCUUUAAGCAACAUGCAUUUGAAUAAUCCAU